CUACGGGUCGCUCCAGUGGGGAAUAUUGUACAAUGGAGGAAACUCUGAUGCAGCAACGCCGCGUGGAGGAUGACACUUUUCGGAGCGUAAACUCCUUUUAUAUAGGAAGAAGAUGACUGUACUAUAUGAAUAAGCGCCGGCUAACUCCGUGCCAGCAGCCGCGGUAAUACGGAGGGCGCAAGCGUUACUCGGAAUCACUGGGCGUAAAGAGCGUGUAGGCGGAUUAAAAAGUCAGAAGUGAAAUCCUAUAGCUUAACUAUAGAACUGCUUCUGAAACUCUUAAUCUAGAAUGUGGGAGAGGUAGAUGGAAUUUCUGGUGUAGGGGUAAAAUCCGUAGAGAUCAGAAGGAAUACCGAUUGCGAAGGCGAUCUACUAGAACAUUAUUGACGCUGAGACGCGAAAGCGUGGGGAGCAAACAGGAUUAGAUACCCCUGUAGUC
rnacentral:rRNA from 1 species